UACGAAGGGGGCUAGCGUUGUUCGGAAUUACUGGGCGUAAAGCGCACGUAGGCGGGUCCUUAAGUCGGGGGUGAAAGCCCGGGGCUCAACUCCGGAAGUGCAUUCGAUACUGGGGGUCUUGAGGUCGUGAGAGGUGAGUGGAAUUCCGAGUGUAGAGGUGAAAUUCGUAGAUAUUGGGAGGAACACCAGUGGCGAAGGCGGCUCACUGGACCGAAACUGACGCUGAGGUGCGAAAGCGUGGGGAGCAAACAGG
rnacentral:rRNA from 1 species